rnacentral:snRNA from 1 species
AACAGUGUUUACUUUGCUCAUAUUUAUAAUUGUUAUAGAGAGAAACUUAGCAGCGCUCCUGUGCAAGGAUGACACGUAAAUGUGUGAAGUGGUCUAUGGUCUA